ACCAGCGGCGACAGCACGUUGAAUGUACCAGUUCCCCACGGAUCACUCAAGUUAAGCAACGUUGCGCGUGGUUAGUAUCUGGAUGGGUGACCAUCUGGGGAAUCGCGUGCUGCUGGGU
rnacentral:rRNA from 1 species